rnacentral:rRNA from 1 species
GACGAACGCUGGCGGCGUGCUUAACACAUGCAAGUCGAACGGAAAGGCCCUGCUUUUGUGGGGUGCUCGAGUGGCGAACGGGUGAGUAACACGCGAGUAACCUGCCCUUGACUUUGGGAUAACUUCAGGAAACUGGGGCUCAUACCGGAUAGGAGCUCCUGCUGCAUGGUGGGGGUUGGAAAGUUUCGGCGGUUGGGGAUGGACUCGCGGCCUAUCAGCUUGUUGGUGGGGUAGUGGCUUAACAACGCAUUGACGGGUAGCCGGCCUGGGAGGGUGACCGGCCACAAUGGGACUGGGGAACGGGCAAGACUGCUACGGGGGGCAGCAGUGAGGAAUAGUGCACAAUGGGCGGAAGCCGUAUGCAGCAACGCCGCGUGCGGGAUGACGGCCGUCGGGUUGUAAACCGCGUUCGCCUGGAACGAAGCGUGAGUGACGGUAAUGGGUAAAGAAGCACCGGCUAACUACGUG